UACGAAGGGGGCUAGCGUUGCUCGGAAUCACUGGGCGUAAAGGGUGCGUAGGCGGGUCUUUAAGUCAGGGGUGAAAUCCUGGAGCUCAACUCCAGAACUGCCUUUGAUACUGAAGAUCUUGAGUUCGGGAGAGGUGAGUGGAACUGCGAGUGUAGAGGUGAAAUUCGUAGAUAUUCGCAAGAACACCAGUGGCGAAGGCGGCUCACUGGCCCGAUACUGACGCUGAGGAGCGAAAGCGUGGGGAGCGAACGGG
rnacentral:rRNA from 1 species